AUUGAACGCUGGCGGCAUGCCUUACACAUGCAAGUCGAACGGUAACGGGCCUUCGGGUGCCGACGAGUGGCGAACGGGUGAGUAAUGCAUCGGAACGUACCUUUCAGUGGGGGAUAACGUAGCGAAAGUUACGCUAAUACCGCAUAUUCUGUGAGCAGGAAAGCAGGGGAUCGCAAGACCUUGCGCUGAUUGAGCGGCCGAUGUCAGAUUAGCUAGUUGGUGAGGUAAAGGCUCACCAAGGCGACGAUCUGUAGCGGGUCUGAGAGGAUGAUACGCCACACUGGGACGGAGACACGGCCCAGGCUCCUACGGGAGGCAGCAGUGGGGAAUUUUGGACAAUGGGGGCAACCCUGAUCCAGCCAUGCCGCGUGAGUGAAGAAGGCCUUCGGGUUGUAAAGCUCUUUCGGCCGGGAAGAAAUCGCACAGGCUAAUACCUUGUGUGGAUGACGGUACCGGAAUAAGAAGCACCGGCUAACUACGUGCCAGCCGCCGCGGUAAAAC
rnacentral:rRNA from 1 species